rnacentral:rRNA from 1 species
GAGAGAGACAUGCGCGCAUAUCAAUAAGCGGAGGAAAAGAAACUAACUAGGAUUCCCUCAGUAACGGCGAGUGAAGCGGGAAGAGCUCAAAUUUGAAAUCUUCAAGGUUCUACCUUGACGAAUUGUAGUUUAAAGAAGUGUUUUCUGUUGGAGUUUUGGUAAAAGUUCUUUGGAAUAGGACAUCAUAGAGGGUGAGAAUCCCGUAUUUGACCAUUAUUUCCAGCUCUGUGAUACACUUUCAAAGAGUCGGAUUGUUUGGGAAUGCAGUCCAAAAUGGGUGGUAAAUUUCAUCUAAAGCUAAAUAUUGGCGAGAGACCGAUAGCGAACAAGUACCGUGAGGGAAAGAUGAAAAGAACUUUGAAAAGAGAGUUAAACAGUACGUGAAAUUGUCAAAAGGGAAGCGUUUGACACCAGUGUUGUUUUCUCGAAAAUCAAUUAAAAAAGGCAGGAUUUUGUGUUGUAUUGACUUUAUCAGCUUUCUGCACUCUUUUCUUGUCUUUUUUUAAUGCACUUUUCGUUUAACAAGUCAACAUCAAUUUCUUUUGUUGUAAAAGGGUCAUUGGAAGGUGGCUUUCUUUUCGGAGAAAGUGUUUAUAGCCUUUGGCCUCUGCAAUCGGAGAGAUUGAGGUCUGCAGCGUAGAUCCUUCGGGGUUAGAUACAUUUGUGCUAAGUUAUAGCCUUUUCAUAGACAACUUGUUGACUAUGAUUAGUCAUUGUAGCUUACUCGCUUAUGCUAUUUUACCUACGCUUAGGAUGUUGAAGAUGUAGCACAUCAU